rnacentral:RNase_P_RNA from 1 species
CAAUCGCGGGCACCAAUGGCGAAAGCCGGUGCGUGAGGAAAGUCCGGGCUCCACAGGACAGGGUGCCGGCUAACGGCCGGUGAAGGCGACUUUAAGGAAAGUGCAACAGAAAAGAAAACCGCCUAUUCUUCGGAAUGGGUAAGGAUGAAAAGGCGAGGUAAGAGCUCACCGGCGGUAUGGAGACAUAUCGGCCUUGUAAACCCCACUCGGAGCAACGUCGUGGAAAGGCAUCAACCGUGGUCCGCGGGCCUUGAGGGGACGGCUUAAGACGGCGGGCAACCGUCGUAUUAGAUAGAUGAUUGUCAACUACAGAACCCGGCUUACCGGUCUGGUC